rnacentral:rRNA from 1 species
UACAGAGGGUGCAAGCGUUGUUCGGAAUUAUUGGGCGUAAAGCGCGUGUAGGCGGCUUAGCAAGUCGGGCGUGAAAGCCCUCGGCUCAACCGAGGAAGUGCACCCGAAACUGCUGAGCUUGAGUGCCGGAGAGGAUGGCGGAAUUCCCCAAGUAGAGGUGAAAUUCGUAGAUAUGGGGAGGAACACCGGUGGCGAAGGCGGCCUGCUGGGCAGUGGCUGACGCUGAGGCGCGACAGCGUGGGGAGCGAACAGG